UACGGGGGGAGCAAGCGUUGUUCGGAUUUACUGGGCGUAAAGGGCGCGUAGGCGGUCGUGACAAGUCACUUGUGAAAUCUCCGGGCUUAACUCGGAAAGGUCAAGUGAUACUGUCGGACUAGAGUACAGAAGGGGCAACUGGAAUUCUCGGUGUAGCGGUGAAAUGCGUAGAGAUCGGGAAGAACAUCAGUGGCGAAGGCGGUCUGCUGGGCCGUUGCUGACGCUGAGGCGCGACAGCGUGGGGGAGCAAACAGG
rnacentral:rRNA from 1 species